rnacentral:tRNA from 1 species
GGGUCUGUAGCUCAGCCCGGUAGAGCAAUCGGCUCUUAACCGAUAGGUCAGGGGUUCGAAUCCCCUCAGACUCA